GAAAGACCCAAGCUUUCUCCUCCGUUUUUUAACCUUUAAACAGCUGCUUUGGCGGCUUCCCUUUCUUUUGUAUAUAUAAUAUUAUAUGUAGUUUUUCAAGCUAGAACAACAGCUCAGUUAGCUGUUUGCUUGUUUUAUAUUUAUUUUCAUUUUCCUUGUUUUUUACCCUCUUCUUCUGCGAAAUCUCCAGAACGAUAAGUAAGAGGAAGACAGAAUAAUUCCACACUGAAAUCCCUUUUCUUAGAUUUUGACUCUACAUUGAUUAUUUCGGUUCUUUCUGGGGAAAAAUCGUUCUGAGUUUAAGAUUUUUAUUAUUAUUUCUUUAGUUGGUUCGAAUUUUUUAGGAAAAAAAGAAACAUUCUUGAAAGUGCGGAGGCAUUCGGUUGCAUUUUGUGGGAGAGAUCU
rnacentral:misc_RNA from 1 species